GGAGGCUGCGUUCAUUAUGUGCACUCUUCUGUGUUAUGUGAGAGCGAGGGGUCGGCAGCAGCAAGUGGCCUGCGUGCGCGAGGGGGGCUUUCUCUGUGGUCCGACGCUGUGUCAAGCUCUGCACCGGCCAUGAGUAUGCAGCCAAGAUCAUCAACACCAAGAAGCUGUCAGCCAGAGAUCACCAGAAGCUGGAGAGAGAGGCUCGGAUCUGCCGCCUUCUGAAGCAUUCCAACAUCGUGCGUCUCCACGACAGCAUCUCCGAGGAGGGCUUCCACUACCUGGUCUUCG
rnacentral:lncRNA from 1 species